UACAUAGGGUGCGAGCGUUAAUCGGAAUUACUGGGCGUAAAGCGUGCGCAGGCGGUUUUGUAAGCCAGAUGUGAAAGCCCCGGGCUUAACCUGGGAAUGGCAUUUGGGACUGCAAGGCUUGAGUGCGGCAGAGGAGACUGGAAUUCCUGGUGUAGCAGUGAAAUGCGUAGAUAUCAGGAGGAAUACCGAUGGCGAAGGCAGGUCUCUGGGCUGACACUGACGCUCAUGCACGAAAGCGUGGGGAGCAAACAGG
rnacentral:rRNA from 1 species